rnacentral:rRNA from 1 species
AGUGAACGCUGGCGGUAGGCCUAACACAUGCAAGUCGAACGGCAGCACAGUAAGAGCUUGCUCUUACGGGUGGCGAGUGGCGGACGGGUGAGGAAUACAUCGGAAUCUACUUUUUCGUGGGGGAUAACGUAGGGAAACUUACGCUAAUACCGCAUACGACCUACGGGUGAAAGCAGGGGAUCUUCGGACCUUUCGCGAUUGAUUGAGCCGAUGUCGGAUUAGCUAGUUGGCUGGGUAAAGGCCCACCAAGGCGACGAUCCGUAGCUGGUCUGAGAGGAUGAUCGGCCACACUGGAACUGAGACACGGUCCAGACUCCUACGGGAGGCAGCAGUAGGGAAUAUUGGGCAAUGGGCGCAAGCCUGAUGCAGCCAUACCGCGUGGGUGAAGAAGGCCUUCGGGUUGUAAAACCCUUUUGUUAGGAAAGAAAAAAUGCAGAUUAAACCAUGGAUGUUCUGACGGUACCCAAAGAGUAAGCACCGGCUAACUUCGUG